CCACAGCAUAGUACUGAGUUAGCAGGGUCAACAGGCAGCAGUCACUGUCCUCUGCUGUUUGAUUGGCGAGCUACUCUCACUAAGAGCCAAGAAAACCCUUUCUGAUUAAUAUCUUGAUAAACUACAUCUUGUUGUUGUUUUAGUGUUGCUGCCGCUGCUGUGUGCGCGCGUGCGCGUGUGCGUGUGUGUAUUGGGGGGGGGGGUGCUGCUGAAACUCUUUUCAUUGAAUCUUCCCGGAUGGUUGCCCAUUUGAGUGGAAAGUGUUGACUUAUCUAAAGCGGCAUUGAUGAGGAGGCUUCUGGGAUUUUUAUUGUGACGUCACACAACGACCAGCUUUGGUGGUUGCUUCCUUCCCCCCCUUUGAGAAACAUGAGGACAUUAGGCGAGUGAGCAGGAGCCCUGAAGGCGAUGGCAGGAAGAGGAAUUGCCAAGCUUCACUGAGAUCGGGAAAUAACGGUGAGCCAGAUCCAUACUGUCCUGGUCUCGUGGAUCAAAGAUGAGCCCUGUUGAAGCCAUCUUGCUUAAAUAGUCCUUGGCCUCUUCCGCUGGAGUUGUGGAUUUAGAGUGAGAGGAUACGGAGCAGCUGACAUGGAGGCCUCAUCCAAUCCAGUCUAAGCCUUACUCAGUAAUUGCGGCCCCUGCCUGGACACUGGAGCUUUCAGCUGCUAACCCACCCCACACUAGGUAGGUGGGCUUCGAAGGCGGAGCUCCCCGGCGCCUCAAGGUUUUGUUAACACUGAGAAUUGAAAGACCCGGCGCACCAUAGGAAACAUGCAGGAUGCUUCAAGAUAGGAAACAUGCAGGAUGCUUCCAGACACAAGCUUGACAACGGUGCACAGGAGACUUCCUGCCGGUCCCCAACUGAAAAGAAUGGGAAUUGGCGACAGUUUACAGCUGACUUAUUUCUUAGACUUCAUUUCUAGAGUUACAUUUAGUCAACUUUUAACAAUGAUGAAAAAAACAAUACCACCUGUGUAGCCCUCAAA
rnacentral:lncRNA from 1 species